GGAGGGGAACAGAUGAUCGCCGGGUUGCUUCGUGCAGCCGGGAGGAAAGUCCGAACACCACAGGGCAGGGUGCUCCAUAACGUGGAGUCGCGGUAACGCGAAGGCAAGUGCAACAGAGAGUAGACCGCCACGUACCCGUUUCGGGUGCGGGGUAAGGGUGAAAGGGUGCGGUAAGAGCGCACCAGUUCUUCGGGUGAUCGGAGAAGCUGGGUAAACCCCACCCGGUGCAAGACCAAAUAGGGAAGUGUUUGAGGGCUGCCCGUCCGAGCUUCCGGGUAGGUCGCGUGAGGUGUCGGGCAACCGGCAUCCUAGAUGAAUGAUCAUCGCCCCGUUUCCGGGUAACCGGGACGGGGAACAAAAUUCGGCUUACGUACCCCUUCAACC
rnacentral:RNase_P_RNA from 1 species